CCACCAUUGUAAGCUUCCAACUGGAGGCGAUACACCGAGAGGUAAAUGGCCUCUGGUUCCGACAACCCUUCGACUGAAGACUCGAACAUGAAAUUCUCAUGUAGAACUGCGAGCCUGUGAUCCGCUUCCGAUGGACUGAUCAUGCAAAAUUCCAGAGAAAAUCACCGUAUCGGUUCGUGAACGGUGACCAGCUUCGUCCCGUCGGGGAACGUCGCUUCGACCUGAAUGUCG
rnacentral:misc_RNA from 1 species